rnacentral:lncRNA from 1 species
ACCUGAAACAGUAAAUGAAAGUACAAGUAGUGUGCCAAUGAUUGAAUAAUGUGGGGAUGGACCUUCAGCUUGUCGUUCAACCGCCAUUUCACAGUUGCAGGGUUUACGUAUUUCUGAUCUCUUUACUGACUUUCAAUCAAAUGCAUUGCAAACUGAGACAAUUGCAAAUAUCUCAAAUGUUCAGAAUAAACCAAUCUUGCCG